rnacentral:rRNA from 1 species
AACGAACGCUGGCGGCAGGCUUAACACAUGCAAGUCGAACGGAUCCUUCGGGAUCAGUGGCGGACGGGUGAGUAACGCGUGGGAACCUACCCUGGGGGUGGGGAAUAACCUUGGGAAACCGAGGCUAAUACCGCAUACGCCCUAUUGGGGAAAGACUAUGUUGCCCUGGGAUGGGCCCGCGUCCGAUUAGCUAGUUGGUGGGGUAAUGGCCUACCAAGGCUGCGAUCGGUAGCUGGUCUGAGAGGAUGAUCAGCCACACUGGGACUGAGACACGGCCCAGACUCCUACGGGAGGCAGCAGUGGGGAAUAUUGGACAAUGGGGGCAACCCUGAUCCAGCCAUGCCGCGUGAGUGAAGAAGGCCUUAGGGUUGUAAAGCUCUUUCACCCGUGACGAUGAUGACGGUAGCGGGAGAAGAAGCCCCGGCUAAUUCCGUG